UUCUGGUUGAUCCUGCCGGAGGUGACUGCUAUAGGAGUUCGCUUAAGCCAUGCGAGUCGAGAGGGUUCGGCCCUCGGCAGACUGCUCAGUAACACGUGGAGAACCUGCCCUAAGGUGGGGGAUAAUCUCGGGAAACUGAGGAUAAUACCCCAUAGCCCACUUAUGCUGGAAUGCUUAGUGGGCCAAAGCUCCGGCGCCUUAGGAUGGCUCUGCGGCCUAUCAGGUAGUAGUCAGGGCAACGGCCUGACUAGCCGACGACGGGUACGGGCGUUGAGAGACGUCGCCCGGAGAUGGAAUCUGAGACACGAUUCCAGGCCCUACGGGGCGCAGCAGGCGCGAAAACUUCGCAAUGUGGGAAACCACGACGAGGGAACUCCUAGUGCUAGCACACAGUGUUAGCUGUUUUCAUGCCUAAAAAGCAUGGAGAGUAAGGGCUGGGUAAGACGGGUGCCAGCCGCCGCGGUAAUACCCGCAGCUCAAGUGGUCACCGCUAUUAUUGGGCCUAAAGCGUCCGUAGCCUGUUUAGUAAAUGCCUGGGUAAAUCGUUCGGCUUAACCGAUCGAAUUUCAGGUAGACUGCUAGACUUGGGACCGGGAGAGGCCAGGGGUACUCCGGGGGUAGGGGUGAAAUCCUGUAAUCCCCGGGGGACCACCGGUGGCGAAGGCGCCUGGCUGGAACGGGUCCGACGGUGAGGGACGAAGCCCUGGGGAGCAAACCGGAUUAGAUACCCGGGUAGUCCAGGGUGUAAACGCUGCGGGCUCGGUGUCGGGGGUCCUGCGAGGGCACCCGGUGCCGGGGUGAAGACGUUAAGCCCGCCGCCUGGGGAGUACGGCCGCAAGGCUGAAACUUAAAGGAAUUGGCGGGGGAGCACCGCAACGGGAGGAGCGUGCGGUUUAAUUGGAUUCAACGCCGGAAAGCUNCACCGGGAAAGACUGGCAGAUGUGGAUCAGGCUGAAGGCCUUGUCCGAACGUCAAAGAGGUGGUGCAUGGCCGUCGUCAGCUCGUACCGUAAGGCGUUCUGUUAAGUCAGAUAACGANGCGAGAACCNCUUAUCCACAAUUGCCACCCAGGUCUCCGGAUCUGGAGCACAUUGUGGAGACCGCUGUUGCUAAAGCAGAGGAAGGAUAGGGCAACGGUAGGUCAGUAUGCCCCGAAUUUCCCGGGCUACACGCGCGCUAUAAAGGGCGGGACAAUGGGUAUCGACACCGAGAGGUGAAGGAAAUCCCGAAACCCGUCCAUAGUUUGGAUCGAGGGCUGCAACUCGCCCUCGUGAAACUGGAUUCCGUAGUAAUCGCGCCUCAAAAUGGCGCGGUGAAUAUGCCCCUGCUCCUUGCACACACCGCCCGUCAAACCAUCCGAGUUGGGUCUGAGUGAGGGUAUCCCUUCCUGGGGUAUUCGAACUCGGGUUCAGCGAGGAGGGUUAAGUCGUAACAAGGUAGCC
rnacentral:rRNA from 1 species